rnacentral:misc_RNA from 1 species
AGGAGCUGCGAUUUUGAUAAGGAUUUAGCUAAUGAUAAAACGAGUUUAGGGAUGUCUUAUUCAUGGUAUUUAUAGGCUAAUAGUGAAAAAUGAAUAGAUUCGGACAUUAAGUCAUAAUGAGUUUCCUUGGGCAGCCUUAAUGGUGCUUCUAUGUGAUCCACUAUUUAGAGUUUGAAUCUGACCUUAUAGGCUUAGAUGGACCUUAAUUGACAUAUUUUAAAGUGAUAUAAAACUAGGCCAUAUUACAUUAAGGGUCACAUGUUGAGUGUGUUUGGGCUUUUUAUGUUUUAUGUGGGACCAUGAGUUUGGGCUUUAAUCAGUAGGUUUAAUUACUUUAUUUAAGGCCCAAAAUAAAUAAAAUAAAGGUGUGUAGUUCCCCAAUGUCAUGCAAAUAGUAGAUCUGUACAAGGAGAGCUAUUUUUAACUUGUUUUCCUACUUUAACUAGGAUUCUUGAGAGAAUUUUAAGUUAGAAUGCAACUAGGACUUCCAAAUUAGAUCUGAAGUCUUAGUUAACCUAUUUUUUCUAUGAAAAAGAUCCAAAAUACAAAUCUGGAGCUUUUCAAUUCUCUUAUACUCAGAGUGGCAAACUAUCCUCUUUAUGCAUUCCAAAGUGUCAAUUGCUUGAUCUAGUUACUGGUGUGAUUUAUUCUUCUUCUUCUUUGGCCUGUGGAGCACUUCUACAUCCCUUUGGAGUG